rnacentral:rRNA from 1 species
AUUGAACGCUGGCGGCAUGCCUUACACAUGCAAGUCGAACGGUAACGGGCCUUCGGGUGCCGACGAGUGGCGAACGGGUGAGUAAUACAUCGGAACGUGCCCGAUCGUGGGGGAUAACGAGGCGAAAGCUUUGCUAAUACCGCAUACGAUCUACGGAUGGAAGCAGGGGACCGCAAGGCCUUGCGCGGACGGAGCGGCCGAUGGCAGAUUAGGUAGUUGGUGGGAUAAAAGCUUACCAAGCCGACGAUCUGUAGCUGGUCUGAGAGGAUGAUCAGCCACACUGGGACUGAGACACGGCCCAGACUCCUACGGGAGGCAGCAGUGGGGAAUUUUGGACAAUGGGCGCAAGCCUGAUCCAGCCACGCCGCGUGCAGGAUGAAGGCCUUCGGGUUGUAAACUGCUUUUGUACGGAACGAAAAGCCUUCUUUUAAUACAGGAGGGUCAUGACGGUACCGUAAGAAUAAGCACCGGCUAACUACGUG